rnacentral:lncRNA from 1 species
UAUCUAUGUAGUGAAUAGAAUUUUCUAUCAAAAAUUCAACAAAUUUCGAUUCUUUUACACUGUUAAACUAGCAAGUAUCCCAUACCGGCCGUUAAAAAUUGUCAAAUUUGUGACCUCUUGAUCGUAAGGUAAAUGAUGUCGAAAAAUUAUAAAAUUUGAUUUCUAGAAGUUUUAAAUACUGUACAUAACGUUUAACGGUGUGGAUCGUCGAUUCGGAAGCUCUAUCAUCGAAAACAACUUAUGAGUACGAGGGCGAUCGUACUCACAAUAGUAUAGUAGCCGGACCCUAUAUAUAUAUAUAUAUAUAUAUAGGAGAGAGA